AUGUCCUCCUCCUCAAGUGUUCCUCAGGGCACCCUGACCGGCCAGAUCAUCGAGAAGCUCACGUGCACGAACUACGUGCUCUGGCGUACCCAGAUCACGCCGCAACUCCGAGGCGCGGGGUUCUUCGGCUACGUCGAUGGAUCCAUGAAGGAACCUGCCUCGACCGUCAUCACCAAGCUGGCGGAUGGAAAGGAGGAGGAGUCGCCAAAUCCCCUGCAUUCAAUCUGGAUCAAGGAAGAUCAGCAGGUAUUAGGGUAUCUGCUGAAUAACUUGUCGAAGGAAGUGCUUGUGCAGGUUACGGCCAUCACCCAUGCGCACAAUCUCUGGACGGCGCUCGCGCACAUGUUCUCAUCGACCUCGAUCUCCCGCAUCAACAACAUACGCAUAGCACUUGCUAAUGCGCAGAAGGGGCAGCAGUUCGUGGCGACGUACUUUGCCCAGAUGCGCUCGCUGGUGGAUGAGCUGGCAGCGGCGGGAAAGCCCCUGGAGGAUGAUCAACUGAUCUCUCACAUCCUUGCGGGGCUCGACAUGGAGUACCAGCCGCUGGUCUCAGCGCUGGAUGCUCGCACCAUCCCGGUCACGCUCGAUGAGCUCUUUGCUCAGAUGAGCAAUUUCGACCAGAGGGUGGCGCUCUACCGCGACAACGACAACGGCUUCAAGUCUUCGGCCAACGGUGCUUCAUGUGGCCGUGGAGGUGGUGGCUCCUCCCGCUACCGUGGCCCUCCGCGCAAGGGGCAAAACGGCAACAACAACCCUCGCGCCAACAACAACACCAGCAGCGGCCGGCCCUCCUACAACAACACCAAGGGUCGCCGCAACAACUCCUCUGCUAGGUCUCGCCCCGAUGCUGUCAAGUGUCAGAUCUGCGGCAAGCUGGGGCACCCCGCGAAGGACUGCUGGUACCGUUUUGAGGAUGACAACGACUCAUCCCAAGACGAGAAAGUAGCCGGCGGUGCUGAAGGAUCAUACGGCGUCGAUACAAACUGGUCACGAAGAAAAUCCUAUAUCGAGGUAUAUGCGUUCGAGGACUGUAUCCGUUGA
rnacentral:rRNA from 1 species